rnacentral:lncRNA from 1 species
UCACAGCUUGCUCAAAUAAAAGAGAAACCUGUUGUUUAUGGUGAUUCAAAUGACCAAUCUAAUGAUGCUAAGACUGUUGAUUCUCAAACAAUAAGCAAGAUGAAGCUUGCUGAAUUUGAGAAGAGGCCUCCUAGGCAGCCUAGGCCACCUCCUAAACCAUCUGGUGUUGCUCCAGUUGGUGCAAAUACCACUCCUUCAAGUGGAGUGCCGCCACCACCUCCUCCACCAGGUGCACCACUACCACCACCACCACUGGGUGGACCACCUCGUCCUCCUCCUCCACCUGGAAGCUUGCCAAGAGGGGCAGGAAGUGGUGAUAAAGUUCACAGAGCUCCUGAACUAGUUGAAUUCUAUCAGACAUUG